rnacentral:rRNA from 1 species
GACGAACCGUGCGAACGUUAUUCGGAAUCACUGGGCUUAAAGCGCGUGUAGGCGGGUGAUCGCGUCGCUUGCUGAAAGCCCCCGGCUCAACCGGGGGACCGGCGGCGAAACGGGUCACCUUGAGGGGCGUAGGGGGAGCUGGAACUCACGGUGGAGCGGUGAAAUGCGUUGAGAUCGUGAGGAACGCCCGCGGCGAAAGCGAGCUCCUGGACGCCUGCUGACGCUGAGACGCGAAAGCCAGGGGAGCGAACGGG